rnacentral:lncRNA from 1 species
AUGCUCUGUGUGGUCACAUACAUUUGUUGCCUAUGUGUGAGCCAGAGUUCCCCUUGUUUCUUUUCCCUGUGUGGGUUGAGACUGCCCUGUGCCCUCACUGUAGUUACCUGUGUCUGGGGUGGCCUGGGGAUUAUAUUUCAGCUGCUGCCUCCCAGGGAAGUGAUUUCUAGAAGGCCACUGAGUCUCGGGCAAAUGACAUUAGACUGCACCACCGUGGAGAGAUCUCUGGCAUAAAUAAAUGUAUCAGGAGGUCAAGAGGUCAAGAGCAUAAAUGAGGCAAAGAUUUCAAAGAAAUCACCGACCAAAUGAUUUAUAAAUCAUGGAAAACACUGCUCCGGCCAUAAAAGAGAAAUUAAAUUUAUACAUCAUGAGCUUCAGGAUGCUUUGGGUUCUGGUGGGUAACUGGGUUAGAAAUGGAAGAGCUUAUGUCAUCCUGUUGUUGGUUUGGAGUCUUGUUAUAGCGGCAUUUACCCCAGGACUCUAAAUCAGGAGGACCAAGAUUAAACUCCCCCUCCCUUCGCCUGUGUCUCUAGAAACGUUUGCUUUUACCUCUGACCUGGAAUUCCCACCACGUGGGGCUCGACUCUGGAGUGGGGUAAGAAUCAAUUCACUGUUGGGCAGAAAUGAUAAUACCAGUGAGAGAAGGCAAGCCUCCCCUCUGUUGGUGAAAGGCUGCGAGUCCCACCUUUGUCUAUGGGAAAGCAACAAAGAAUUAUAGCAUCCGCCCUGGCUGGCCAAGGAAGCUGUGAAACUGGGGACUUCUGCAACAUAACAGCCGAACCAUCUAUAGGAGAGAGUAAAACGAGCCAGUCUCUGUAAAAAGAACAAUAAUACUUUAUGCUAUAAUGAUCUGUAAAGGGAAUCUGUCCAGAGCUUUUACAGCUUCAAAAUAAUCCUUUCCACUUUUUGUCAUAUUUUCUUCAAAGACACGACGUUCAGCCAUUUCUUUCUUCUACACACCCCCUUUUCAUUUCUUUUUCUUCUGUUUUUGGAAAAAUUAUCAGAUUGGAAACUCUAAAGCUUGAAAAUGUCUAUUUAUUUUAGCUCUAUAUGAAUUCAUGAAAUGUACACAAUGAUCUAUACAUAAAACUUAAGUAAUUUCAUGGGGAACUUGCCGAAAACAC